AGACAGUUUGGUCCCUAUCUGCCGUGGGUGUACGAAGCUUGAGAGGAUCUGUCCCUAGUACGAGAGGACCGGGAUGGACACACCUCUGGUGGACCUGUCGUGGCGCCAGCCGCGCAGCAGGGUAGCUAAGUGUGGAAUAGAUAACCGCUGAAAGCAUCUAAGCGGGAAACUAACCUCAAAACAAGGCUUCGCCGAGAGCCGUGGUAGACCACCACGUUGAUAGGCCAGGUGUGGAAGUGCGGCGACGCAUGGAGCUUACUGGUACUAAUCGCUCGAUCGGCUUGAUCGUUCUU
rnacentral:rRNA from 1 species